rnacentral:tRNA from 1 species
AAUGUUUUAAGUUAAACUAAACUUAUAGCCUUCAAAGCUAGAAAUGGGUAAUUUACCCAAACAUUA